rnacentral:rRNA from 1 species
UGGGGAAUAUUGCACAAUGGGGGAAACCCUGAUGCAGCGACGCCGCGUGAACGAAGAAGGUAUUCGUAUCGUAAAGUUCUGUCCUAUGGGAAGAUAAUGACAGUACCAUAGAAGAAAGCUCCGGCUAAAUACGUGCCAGCAGCCGCGGUAAUACGUAUGGAGCGAGCGUUGUCCGGAAUUAUUGGGCGUAAAGGGUACGCAGGCGGUUUAAUAAGUCGAAUGUUAAAGAUCGGGGCUCAACCCCGUAAAGCAUUGGAAACUGAUAAACUUGAGUAGUGGAGAGGAAAGUGGAAUUCCUAGUGUAGUGGUGAAAUACGUAGAUAUUAGGAGGAAUACCAGUAGCGAAGGCGACUUUCUGGACACAAACUGACGCUAAGGUACGAAAGCGUGGGGAGCAAACAGG